AUUGAACGCUGGCGGCAUGCUUUACACAUGCAAGUCGAACGGUAACAGGCCGCAAGGUGCUGACGAGUGGCGAACGGGUGAGUAAUGCAUCGGAACGUGCCCAGUCGUGGGGGAUAACGCAGCGAAAGCUGUGCUAAUACCGCAUACGAUCUAUGGAUGAAAGCGGGGGACCGUAAGGCCUCGCGCGAUUGGAGCGGCCGAUGUCAGAUUAGCUAGUUGGUGGGGUAAAGGCCCACCAAGGCGACGAUCUGUAGCUGGUCUGAGAGGACGACCAGCCACACUGGGACUGAGACACGGCCCAGACUCCUACGGGAGGCAGCAGUGGGGAAUUUUGGACAAUGGGCGCAAGCCUGAUCCAGCAAUGCCGCGUGCAGGAAGAAGGCCUUCGGGUUGUAAACUGCUUUUGUACGGAACGAAACGGCCUGGGUUAAUACCCUGGGCUAAUGACGGUACCGUAAGAAUAAGCACCGGCUAACUACGUGCCAGCAGCCGCGGUAACAC
rnacentral:rRNA from 1 species